GACCUGCCCAAUGGAGUAGUCUAAAUGGCCGCGGUAUUAUGACCGUGCGAAGGUAGCAUAAUCAUUAGUCUUUUAAUUGUAGACUGGAAUGAACGGUUGGACGUAAUAAUGUNUUUUUUAUUCUUACAUAUUGAAUUUUACUUUUUAGUGAAGAGGGUAAAAUGAGGCCNAAAGACGAGAAGACCCUAUCAAGUUUUAUUACCGAGUACUGGAAAAUAGAGGUGAAUUAAUAAGGUAUAAGGUUAAUUUUACUGGGGCGGUAGGUGAAAACUAAUUAGGAUCCAAAAUUUUUGAUUAUUUGUUUAAAUUACUGUAGGGAUAACAGCGUAAUCUUAUUUGAGAGUUCAUAUCGACGAUAAGGGUUGCGACCUCGAUGUUGGAUUAGAAUUCCUUCUUGGAGCAGAAUCUAAGAAGGGGGGUCGGUUCGACCAUUAAAAUUCUACA
rnacentral:rRNA from 1 species